rnacentral:rRNA from 1 species
GAUGAACGCUGGCGGCGUGCCUAAUACAUGCAAGUCGAGCGAACAGACGAGGAGCUUGCUCCUCUGACGUUAGCGGCGGACGGGUGAGUAACACGUGGAUAACCUACCUAUAAGACUGGGAUAACUUCGGGAAACCGGAGCUAAUACCGGAUAACAUGUUGAACCGCAUGGUUCAACAGUGAAAGACGGUCUUGCUGUCACUUAUAGAUGGAUCCGCGCCGCAUUAGCUAGUUGGUAAGGUAACGGCUUACCAAGGCAACGAUGCGUAGCCGACCUGAGAGGGUGAUCGGCCACACUGGACCUGAGACACGGUCCAGACUCCUACGGGAGGCAGCAGUAGGGAAUCUUCCGCAAUGGGCGAAAGCCUGACGGAGCAACGCCGCGUGAGUGAAGAAGGUCUUCGGAUCGUAAAACUCUGUUAUUAGGGAAGAACAAAUGUGUAAGUAACUAUGCACGUCUUGACGGUACCUAAUCAGAAAGCCACGGCUAACACGUG